UUAAAGAAAACAAAACCAUACUGCGCAGACUCAAGCACACCCGAGGCUAAACACCAAGCAAGAGACAUGUCCCAUUACCACCAGAGGAUACAUUACAAGCUAGAACAGUACUGACAGUGGAACGCCAGGGUUCCCCAUGGGGGGCAGGCGAACACGGAUCAAACGUCUCCUUCCCCGAGCUGCUCCCUUCACGGGUGGACGUGGCUUCGAGGAAGCAGACGCUCUCCGGGCUGCCUGGCUCAGACCUCGGGAGCAUGCCAGGCGAGCUCCCCGCAGCCCGGGGGCCUCGUCGGCCGGCUACAACCGCGUUCCGGCCCGCACCCCCCGAGAUGUAUGUACAGGCGGCACGGCCACGCCAUAGAAGCGAAUAAGGUCACCGACCGCCGGCCCCCGGAUUGAAGAAGAUGUUUUCUGAGCUGAGAACUUUCCUAUCAAUGUCAUUGCCUGGCUGCAAAGGUCUCCAUCUCCAGCACACUCCCAGCUGCGUCCCAUGUUCCUCCAAGCCAAGCUGACCUGUGCAAUGCUAUCUAAGGUGACCUGAAUGAUGAGAAAUCCGUUCCACAAACACCCACCUGAAGCAUGCUGAACAGCACUUCUGGGAUGGGGAAUGGAGCAGUCUCCCAUCCUGGGGCACUGAAUGUCCUGGGAUGAACCGGAGUGGUCUCUGUUGGUGAGGCUGCACUUACCAAUGUCUUUCCUCAUCUGCUUCAGGCUGUAGAGCCCAAACUAGUGACAAGAUAAGUCUCAGUCUUCCUUACAGGCUACACAGUGCUGCAGGCAGUCA